UUAGUGGCGCACGGGUGCGUAACGCGUGGGAAUCUGCCCUUUGGUUCGGAAUAACAGCUGGAAACGGCUGCUAAUACCGGAUGAUGACGAAAGUCCAAAGAUUUAUCGCCAGAGGAUGAGCCCGCGUUGGAUUAGGUAGUUGGUGGGGUAAAGGCCUACCAAGCCGACGAUCCAUAGCUGGUCUGAGAGGAUGAUCAGCCACACUGGGACUGAAACACGGCCCAGACUCCUACGGGAGGCAGCAGUGGGGAAUAUUGGACAAUGGGCGAAAGCCUGAUCCAGCAAUGCCGCGUGAGUGAUGAAGGCCCUAGGGUUGUAAAGCUCUUUUACCCGGGAAGAUAAUGACUGUACCGGGAGAAUAAGCCCCGGCUAACUCCGUGCCAGCAGCCGCGGUAAUACGGAGGGGGCUAGCGUUGUUCGGAAUUACUGGGCGUAAAGCGCACGUAGGCGGCUUUGUAAGUCAGAGGUGAAAGCCUGGAGCUCAACUCCAGAACUGCCUUUGAGACUGCAUCGCUUGAAUCCAGGAGAGGUCAGUGGAAUUCCGAGUGUAGAGGUGAAAUUCGUAGAUAUUCGGAAGAACACCAGUGGCGAAGGCGGCUGACUGGACUGGUAUUGACGCUGAGGUGCGAAAGCGUGCGGAGCAAACAGGAUUAGAUACCCUGGUAGUCCACGCC
rnacentral:rRNA from 1 species